rnacentral:rRNA from 1 species
UACAGAGGUCUCAAGCGUUGUUCGGAUUCAUUGGGCGUAAAGGGCGCGUAGGCGGCGCGGUAAGUCACUUGUGAAAUCUCUGAGCUUAACUCAGAACGGCCAAGUGAUACUGCAGUGCUAGAGUGUGGAAGGGGCAAUCGGAAUUCUUGUGUAGCGGUGAAAUGCGUAGAUAUCAAGAGGAACACCUGAGGUGAAGACGGGUUGCUGGGCCAACACUGACGCUGAUGCGCGAAAGCCAGGGGAGCAAAACGGG